GUAAAGAUGAGGCAACAAGACACAGAAAGAACACCAUAAGAAGACAGAGGGAAAACCAAGGAGUACUAAAGAUUGCCGGCAAACCACCAGAGGCUAGGAGAGAGGCAUGGAACAGAUUCUCCCUCACAGCCCUCAGAAUAAACCAACCCUGCCAACACCUUGAUCUUGGACUUCUACCCUCCAGAACUGUAUUGGCUCCAAGAGCACUUCCUAAUAAACACCCUAUAUGCUGAUCUCCAUCUCAGAGUCUCAUCCCUGGUGGCCUCACACUGUGACAGUCAUCUUUAGUUCUGAUGUUAGUCUAACAUUUGAUCUGUUCUGAUCUCAAGUCCUCAAUAAAAAAUUCAGAUUUA
rnacentral:lncRNA from 1 species